UACGUAGGGGCUAGCGUUGUCCGGAAUCAUUGGGCGUAAAGCGCGUGUAGGCGGUCCGGUAAGUCCGCUGUGAAAGUCGGGGGCUCAACCCUCGAAUGCCGGUGGAUACUGUCGGGCUAGAGUGCGGAAGAGGCGAGUGGAAUUCCUGGUGUAGCGGUGAAAUGCGCAGAUAUCAGGAGGAACACCAAUUGCGAAGGCAGCUCGCUGGGACGUUACUGACGCUGAGACGCGAAAGCGUGGGGAGCAAACAGG
rnacentral:rRNA from 1 species